CUACCGCAGGCGUUGAGUUUUGAGGGGGGUUCGAGAUAGUACGAGAGGACCUCUCGGAGCUAACCUCUGGUGUACCAGUUGUCGCGCCAGCGGCACUGCUGGGUAGCUAAGUUAGUAAGGGAUAAGCACUGAAAGCAUAUAAGUGCGAAGCCCGCCCCAAGAUUAGAACUCUUAGAUUCCUCAGAGAUUAUGAGGUUGAUAGGCUCCAGGUAUAAGUGGGGUAACCCAUUCAGCCGAGGAGUACUAAUAAUCAAUUAUAUU
rnacentral:rRNA from 1 species